CAAGUCGAGGGGUAAGGCCCGAUUUAUCGGGAACACGACCGGCGAACGGGUGAGUAACGCGUAUGUAACUUACCUCUAACUGGAGGAUAGACCUGAGAAAUUUGGAUUAAUACUCCAUAAUGUCAUAGGAUCGCAUGUUCUUAUGAUUAAAGCUCCGGCGGUUAGAGAUAGGCAUGCGUACCAUUAGCUUGUUGGUGGGGUAACUGCUCACCAAGGCAACGAUGGUUAGGGGAUCUGAGAGGAUGAUCCCCCACACUGGUACUGAGACACGGACCAGACUCCUACGGGAGGCAGCAGUGAGGAAUAUUGGGCAAUGGACGAAAGUCUGACCCAGCCAUGCCGCGUGCAGGAUGAAGGCCUUAUGGGUUGUAAACUGCUUUUUUACAGGAAGAAAUACCUCGACGUGUCGGGGU
rnacentral:rRNA from 1 species